GAUGAACGCUGGCGGCGUGCCUAAUACAUGCAAGUCGAGCGAACAGACGAGGAGCUUGCUCCUUCGACGUUAGCGGCGGACGGGUGAGUAACACGUAGGUAACCUACCUAUAAGACUGGGAUAACUUCGGGAAACCGGAGCUAAUACCGGAUAAUAUUUCGAACCGCAUGGUUCGAUAGUGAAAGAUGGCUUUGCUAUCACUUAUAGAUGGACCUUCGCCGUAUUAGCUAGUUGGUAAGGUAACGGCUUACCAAGGCAACGAUACGUAGCCGACCUGAGAGGGUGAUCGGCCACACUGGAACUGAGACACGGUCCAGACUCCUACGGGAGGCAGCAGUAGGGAAUCUUCCGCAAUGGGCGAAAGCCUGACGGAGCAACGCCGCGUGAGUGAUGAAGGUCUUCGGAUCGUAAAACUCUGUUAUUAGGGAAGAACAAACGUGUAAGUAACUGUGCACGUCUUGACGGUACCUAAUCAGAAAGCCACGGCUAACUACGUG
rnacentral:rRNA from 1 species